GAGUGAUCGAAAGAUGAAAAGCACUUUGAAAAGAGAGUUAAAAAGCACGUGAAAUUGUUGAAAGGGAAGCGCUUGCGACCAGACUCGCCCGCGGGGUUCAGCCGGCAUUCGUGCCGGUGUACUUCCCCGCGGGCGGGCCAGCGUCGGUUUGGGCGGCCGGUCAAAGGCCCCUGGAAUGUAACGCCUCUCGGGGCGUCUUAUAGCCAGGGGUGCCAUGCGGCCUGCCCGGACCGAGGAACGCGCUUCGGCUCGGACGCUGGCAUAAUGGUCGUAAGCGACCC
rnacentral:rRNA from 1 species